ACCGAUGUGGUGAAAUUGGUAAACACACUACCUUGAGGUGGUAGCACUCUUAUUAACAUAGGGUUUACGGGUUCGAAUCCCGUCUUCGGUA
rnacentral:tRNA from 1 species